rnacentral:rRNA from 1 species
UACAGAGGUCUCAAGCGUUGUUCGGAUUCAUUGGGCGUAAAGGGUGUAUAGGUGGCGCCGUUAGUCGGGUGUGAAAUUUCGGAGCUUAACUCCGAAACUGCAUUCGAUACUGCGGUGCUUGAGGACUGGAGAGGAGACUGGAAUUCAUGGUGUAGCAGUGAAAUGCGUAGAGAUCAUGAGGAAGACCAGUGGCGAAGGCGGGUCUCUGGACAGUUCCUGACACUGAGACACGAAGGCCAGGGGAGCAAACGGG